UACGUAGGGGGCAAGCGUUGUCCGGAAUCAUUGGGCGUAAAGCGCGUGUAGGCGGCCCGAUAAGUCCGCUGUGAAAGUCCAGGGCUCAACCCUGGGAUGCCGGUGGAUACUGUCGGGCUCGAGUCCGGAAGAGGCGAGUGGAAUUCCUGGUGUAGCGGUGAAAUGCGUAGAUAUCGGGAGGAACACCAGUGGCGAAGGCGACUUUCUGGCCUGUUCUUGACGCUGAGGCGCGAAAGCUAGGGGAGCAAACGGG
rnacentral:rRNA from 1 species